rnacentral:tRNA from 12 species
CAUAGCUCAGUUGGAAGAGUGUUGGCCUAAUAACCCAAAGGAUGUCGGUUCGAGUCUUCCCAU